rnacentral:rRNA from 1 species
GACGAACGCUGGCGGCGUGCUUAACACAUGCAAGUCGAACGGAAAGGCCCUGCUUUUGUGGGGUGCUCGAGUGGCGAACGGGUGAGUAACACGUGAGUAACCUGCCCUUGACUUUGGGAUAACUUCAGGAAACUGGGGCUAAUACCGGAUAGGAGCUCCUGCUGCAUGGUGGGGGUUGGAAAGUUUCGGCGGUUGGGGAUGGACUCGCGGCUUAUCAGCUUGUUGGUGGGGGAGUGGCUUACCAAGGCUUGGACGGGUAGCCGGCCUGUGAGGGUGACCGGGCACAAUGGGACUGAGAUAGGGCCCAGAGUCGUACGGGAGGCAGCAGUGGGGAAUAUUGCACAAUGGGCGGAAGCCUGAUGCAGCGACGCUGCGUGCGGGAUGACGGCCUUCGGGUUGUGAACCGCUUUAGCCUGUGACGAAGCGGGAGUGACGGUAAUGGGUAAAGAAGCACCGGCUAACUACGUG